CUUUUCGAGGUAGGAGUCGACUCCUGUGAGGUAUGGUGCUGGGUGCAGAUGCAGUGUGGCUCUGGAUAGCACCUUAUGGACAGUUGUGUCCCCAAGGAAGGAUGAGAAUAGCUACUGAAGUCCUAAAGAGCAAGCCUAACUCAAGCCAUUGGCACACAGGCAUUAGACAGAAAGCUGGAAGUUGAAAUGUUUUGGCAGGGGGUGAACACUCAUCUGUGGCUAUUCUAAGACCACUCUUAUUUCUUAGGUGGAGUCCAACUUGCCUGGACCAGCUUAAUGGUUCUGCUCCUGGUAACGUUUUUAUCCAUGGAUGACUUGCUUGGGUAUGGAGAGUCGGCUUGACUACACUGUGUGGAGCAAGUUUUAAAGAAGCAAAGGACUCAGAAUUCAUGAUUGAAGAAAUGCAGGCAGACCUGUUAUCCUAAACUAGGGUUUUUAAUGACCACAACAAGCAAGCAUGCAGCUUACUGCUUGAAAGGGUCUUGCCUCACCCAAGCUAGAGUGCAGUGGCCUUUGAAGCUUACUACAGCCUCAAACUUCUGGGCUCAAGUGAUCCUCAGCCUCCCAGUGGUCUUUGUAGACUGCCUGAUGGAGUCUCAUGGCACAAGAAGAUUAAAACAGUGUCUCCAAUUUUAAUAAAUUUUUGCAAUCCA
rnacentral:lncRNA from 1 species